rnacentral:rRNA from 1 species
UCAGGAUGAACGCUAGCUACAGGCUUAACACAUACAAGUCGAGGGGCAUCAGGAAGAAAGCUUGCUUUCUUUGCUGGCGACCGGCGCACGGGUGAGUAACACGUAUCCAACCUGCCCUUUACUCGGGGAUAGCCUUUCGAAAGAAAGAUUAAUACCCGAUAGCAUAAUGAUUCCGCAUGGUUUCAUUAUUAAAGGAUUCCGGUAAAGGAUGGGGAUGCGUUCCAUUAGGUUGUUGGUGAGGUAACGGCCCACCAAGCCUUCGAUGGAUAGGGGUUCUGAGAGGAAGGUCCCCCACAUUGGAACUGAGACACGGUCCAAACUCCUACGGGAGGCAGCAGUGAGGAAUACUGGUCAAUGGGCGCUAGCCUGAACCAGCCAAGUAGCGUGAAGGAUGAAGGCUCUAUGGGUCGUAAACUUCUUUUAUAUAAGAAUAAAGUGCAGUAUGUAUACUGUUUUGUAUGUAUUAUAUGAAUAAGGAUCGGCUAACUCCGUGCCAGCAGCCGCGGUAAUACGGAGGAUCCGAGCGUUAUCCGGAUUUAUUGGGUUUAAAGGGAGCGUAGGUGGACUGGUAAGUCAGUUGUGAAAGUUUGCGGCUCAACCGUAAAAUUGCAGUUGAUACUGUCAGUCUUGAGUACAGUAGAGGUGGGCGGAAUUCGUGGUGUAGCGGUGAAAUGCUUAGAUAUCACGAAGAACUCCGAUUGCGAAGGCAGCUCACUGGACUGCAACUGACACUGAUGCUCGAAAGUGUGGGUAUCAAACAGGAUUAGAUACCCUGGUAGUCCACACAGUAAACGAUGAAUACUCGCUGUUUGCGAUAUACAGUAAGCGGCCAAGCGAAAGCAUUAAGUAUUCCAUCUGGGGAGUACGCCGGCAACGGUGAAACUCAAAGGAAUUGACGGGGGCCCGCACAAGCGGAGGAACAUGUGGUUUAAUUCGAUGAUACGCGAGGAACCUUACCCGGGCUUAAAUUGCAGUGGAAUGAUGUGGAAACAUGUCAGUGAGCAAUCACCGCUGUGAAGGUGCUGCAUGGUUGUCGUCAGCUCGUGCCGUGAGGUGUCGGCUUAAGUGCCAUAACGAGCGCAACCCUUAUCUUUAGUUACUAACAGGUUAUGCUGAGGACUCUAGAGAGACUGCCGUCGUAAGAUGUGAGGAAGGUGGGGAUGACGUCAAAUCAGCACGGCCCUUACGUCCGGGGCUACACACGUGUCACAAUGGGGGGUACAGAAGGCAGCUAGCGGGUGACCGUAUGCUAAUCCCAAAAUCCUCUCUCAGUUCGGAUCGAAGUCUGCAACCCGACUUCGUGAAGCUGGAUUCGCUAGUAAUCGCGCAUCAGCCACGGCGCGGUGAAUACGUUCCCGGGCCUUGUACACACCGCCCGUCAAGCCAUGGGAGCCGGGGGUACCUGAAGUACGUAACCGCAAGGAUCGUCCUAGGGUAAAACUGG